GUAAUGCAUAGGAAUCUACCUAGUAGUAUGGGAUAGCCACUAGAAAUGGUGGGUAAUACUGUAUAAUCCCUGCGGGGGAAAGAUUUAUCGCUAUUAGAUGAGCCUAUGUUAGAUUAGCUAGUUGGUAGGGUAAAGGCCUACCAAGGCGAUGAUCUAUAGCUGGUCUGAGAGGAUGAUCAGCCACACUGGAACUGAGAUACGGUCCAGACUCCUACGGGAGGCAGCAGUGGGGAAUAUUGGACAAUGGGCGCAAGCCUGAUCCAGCUAUGCCGCAUGAGUGAGGAAGGCCUUAGGGUUGUAAAACUCUUUCAGUAGGGAAGAUAAUGACGGUACCUACAGAAGAAGUCCCGGCAAACUCCGUGCCAGCAGCCGCGGUAAUACGGAGGGGGCAAGCGUUGUUCGGAAUUAUUGGGCGUAAAGGGCAUGUAGGCGGUUCGGUAAGUUAAAGGUGAAAUGCCAGGGCUUAAC
rnacentral:rRNA from 1 species